rnacentral:lncRNA from 1 species
CCGACCUUGUGUGACGUCUUUCUGAACUCCCUCAACCAUCCGAACUUCUCCGAUAAUGAGCUUCUCCAUCCAUCUACCGAGCCGCUCCAAAUACUCUUUGGGCUUCACUAUCAGUAGAUCUUCUACAGUGAUCAACUAUUCUCCGAAUCCCUUCCCGACUUCUUCCGGCCACGGACGAACCUACUCCGAACUUCUUUCAAACUUCGUCAAUAUCCGAGCUUCUCCGACAAUGAGAUUUCUCCAGUAACCAGACUCCAUCCAAGUUUCUACGAUGGUCGACCACCUUUCAGAUUUCACCCGAGCUCCUGCAAAAGCCGAACUUCUACAGCAAGCAGUCUACUCCGAACUCCUACUGCAGGCAGUCUACUUCGGAUAUCUACUGUAAGCGAAUUCCAUUCGCGCCUUUACUGUAAAUAAAUUUCUUUCGAACAUCUAUUACAAGUAGAAUUCAGCCGAGCUUCUUCGUAGCCAGAUCCCAGACGAGCUUCUACAACGGAACAGGCUCCACCAGUCAGGUCAAUACUCCGAGCUUUCACGACAACCGAUCUUCGACCGAGCUUCUACAAUAAGUGGCCUCCUUUCAGCCUUCUACAAGAAUCGAACUCUGUUUGAACUCCCAUAGCGGAUAGAUUUUGGAUGAACUUCUAUAACAGACGGGCUCCAGCAGCUGGAUUUCUACAAUGGCCGACCGCCUUCGAUGUCUGCCGUACCUCCCCAGCUAUCAACCUUCAAUAGCAUCAGCCAGACUUCAACAAUGCCAUCCGAACUUCCACAAGAUCCUACAGACUCCUCCAGCGGAUGAAUCUCCCCAAUGCCACCCGAAGUCCACUACCGAUCGACCCUCUGUCGGAUUCCUCAUGAAACCAGACUUCCCCAACAGAAAGUCUCCAUUCGAGCUUCUAUAGCAGAUGACUCUCGCCUGC